rnacentral:rRNA from 1 species
UACAGAGGGUGCGAGCGUUAAUCGGAAUUACUGGGCGUAAAGGGCGCGUAGGUGGUGAGAUGAGUGAGAUGUGAAAGCCCCGGGCUUAACCUGGGAAGCGCAUUUCAAACGAUCUGACUGGAGUAUGGUAGAGGGUGGUGGAAUUUCCGGUGUAGCGGUGAAAUGCGUAGAUAUCGGAAGGAACGUCGAUGGCGAAGGCAGCCACCUGGGCCAAUACUGACACUGAAGCGCGAAAGCGUGGGUAGCGAACAGG